AGCCGGCGCGCUUCGACGACGUCCCUGUUGUCUGUGCUGGCUGUUCCCCUCUGGAGGUUUUGACCUUCACAAUUAUUGGGCCUCGGAGCGAUCCGGCGGCCCAUUUUU
rnacentral:sRNA from 1 species